UACGGAGGGGGCUAGCGUUGUUCGGAAUUACUGGGCGUAAAGCGCACGUAGGCGGCUAUUCAAGUCAGAGGUGAAAGCCUGGAGCUCAACUCUGGAAUUGCCUUUUAGACUGCAUCGCUUGAAUCAUGGAGAGGUCAGUGGAAUUCCGAGUGUAGAGGUGAAAUUCGUAGAUAUUCGGAAGAACACCAGUGGCGAAGGCGGCUGACUGGACAUGUAUUGACGCUGAGGUGCGAAAGCGUGGGGAGCAAACAGG
rnacentral:rRNA from 1 species